UACGAAGGGUGCUAGCGUUGUUCGGAAUCACUGGGCGUAAAGCGCGCGUAGGCGGCUAUUCAAGUCAGAGGUGAAAGCCCGUGGCUCAACCACGGAAUUGCCUUUGGAACUGUAUAGCUAGAGUGUCGGAGGGGAUAGCGGAAUUCCUAAUGUAGAGGUGAAAUUCGUAGAUAUUAGGAGGAACACCGGUGGCGAAGGCGGCUAUCUGGACGACAACUGACGCUGAGGCGCGAAAGCGCGGGGAU
rnacentral:rRNA from 1 species